UGUUUAAAGCUUGUUAAAUUAUAAAAAGGUAUACAUAAAAAAAGAAAAAUAAUUUUUAGUUUAUAUAUUAAAGUAUGUAAUAUAGAAAUAAAUUAAUAAUAACUAUAGAAAAGAGUAUUGUGAAAGAAAGUUAAAAAAUUUAAUAUAGUAAAAAUAUAAUUUUGUGCCUUGUGUAUCAGAAAUAAUUUAUAUAUUUAAAUUAUAUUGUUUUCUCGAAAUAAAAUAUAGUUAAUUUUAUAAAAAAUUUUUUUUCGAAAAAAAAUUUUAAAUUUAAAAUUAAAAGUGAAAUGCUAUUUGAGUUUUAUUAUAUCUAGUUUUUUUAAAAAUAAAUUUAAUUUAGUUUUUGUAUAAAUAAAUAUAAAAUUAAAUGGUAGAAAGGAUAAGCUUUUUAUGAAAAAUAAAAAUAAAUAGUUAAUUAAAAGAAAAUUGUAAAAUUUGGCUUAAAAGUAGCUAUAUUAAUAAAGUGUUUAAACUUAUUUAUAAUAAAAAAUAUUUAUGUAAACUUUUUUUAAAUAUAAAAGAAUCAAUUUAAUUAAAAUUUAUUAAGAUAUAAUGAUUUUAUUAGUAUUUUUAUGAAGUAAAAUAGUAUUAAAUUUUUAAAUAUUUUAAAAAUAAAAUAAUGAUAAUAUAAAGGAAUUCAGCAAAAAUUUUCUUUACCUGUUUAACAAAAACAUGUCUUUUUGAAUAUAAAAAAAGUCAAGCCUGCCCAUUGAAAGUUUUUAAAAGGCCGCGGUAUUUUGACCGUGCAAAGGUAGCGUAAUCGUUAGUUCUUUAAUUGAGAUCUUGUAUGAAUGGUUGGAUAAGAGAAAAUCUGUCUUUAUAUUAAGAAUUGAAUUUAACUUUUAAGUGAAAAGGCUUAAAUUUGUUAAAGAGACGAUAAGACCCUAUAAAGCUUGAUAUUUUAAAGUGUGUUUAAAAGAAUUAAUAAAUAUAAAAGUUAAAAUAACUUAAUUUGUUUUAUUGGGGUGAUAAAAGUAAAAUGAUUUUUAACUGCUUAAAAUUUGUUUAUCAUAAAUAUAUGAUUGAUUAAUUUAAUGAUCCUAUUUAAAGAUUAAAAGUUUAAGUUACUUUAGGGAUAACAGCGUUAUUUUUUUUGAGAGUACAAAUCGAAAAUAAAGUUUGCGACCUCGAUGUUG
rnacentral:rRNA from 1 species